GCCCCUGGCGAAACUGGUAGACGCACCAGACUUAAAAUUUGGAGCCGCAAGGCGUGCCGGUUCGACUCCGGCAGGGGCACCA
rnacentral:tRNA from 1 species